rnacentral:rRNA from 1 species
GAACGCUGGCGGCGUGCCUAAUACAUGCAAGUCGAGCGAACAGAAGGGAGCUUGCUCCCGGAUGUUAGCGGCGGACGGGUGAGUAACACGUGGGUAACCUGCCUGUAAGACUGGGAUAACUCCGGGAAACCGGAGCUAAUACCGGAUAGUUCCUUGAACCGCAUGGUUCAAGGAUGAAAGACGGUUUCGGCUGUCACUUACAGAUGGACCCGCGGCGCAUUAGCUAGUUGGUGGGGUAAUGGCUCACCAAGGCGACGAUGCGUAGCCGACCUGAGAGGGUGAUCGGCCACACUGGGACUGAGACACGGCCCAGACUCCUACGGGAGGCAGCAGUAGGGAAUCUUCCGCAAUGGACGAAAGUCUGACGGAGCAACGCCGCGUGAGUGAUGAAGGUUUUCGGAUCGUAAAGCUCUGUUGUUAGGGAAGAACAAGUGCGAGAGUAACUGCUCGCACCUUGACGGUACCUAACCAGAAAGCCACGGCUAACUACGUGCCAGCAGCCGCGGUAAUACGUAGGUGGCAAGCGUUGUCCGGAAUUAUUGGGCGUAAAGGGCUCGCAGGCGGUUUCUUAAGUCUGAUGUGAAAGCCCCCGGCUCAAC